GGCGAACGGGUGAGUAAUAUUUAGGAAUCUGCCUCAUAACGGGGGAUAGCUCGGGGAAACUCGAAUUAAUACCGCAUACACCCUACGGGGGAAAGGUGGCGCAAGCUGCCGAUAUGAGAUGAGCCUAAAUCAGAUUAGCUAGAUGGUGGGGUAAAGGCCUACCAUGGCGACGAUCUGUAACUGGUCUGAGAGGAUGAUCAGUCACACCGGAACUGAGACACGGUCCGG
rnacentral:rRNA from 1 species